CCCUCCACAAUGCACUGCGGUCCCACCGCCAUGUUCGUCCUUUUCUCAGUGCCUUUAAUUUAAAGACCUGUCUUCAUGGCAUUUUCGGAGUUUUGAGUUCCGUAACCUUUGGCGUUUGUGAAUUGACUUGAUUCCUGUGUAGGAAUAAAGAGUGUUUUCUGAUCAGUUGGUACUGAGUGUUGCUACCGGCCACAUCCCUGAGCGACCCUACCAACUGAUGGCCCUGUGGGGCUUGCGGGGCGACGUCUGCCCCAGGUCCCUCACCAGCUUCUGCUCACCGGGUGACGUCCUCUUGGAAACUGGGCCAGUCAACCCCCUCCUAGCGGGCAACAGGUUCCAUGGCUGGCUCACCACGCUCCACCUCCUCAACUGCGGGCGAACCUGCGCUACAACACGGCACCCAGCCUCAAGCUACAUUGGAUGAUGCUAGCCCUUUGGACUGCUACGCCGCUGGGGCUUUUGUCCUCCACACUCCGUCUGCAGCUCUAUUAUGACCUCUGCCCUGCCGAUGGGGCACUCCUCCUAGGAUACAACCGACCACUCGGGGAUCCUCGCCCAGUUGCAUCUCCAUCUGUCCCGGCUUCCGGCUCCCCUGCACCGGCAAAGACUAAUAAGCAUAAGGCCAUAAUGUCUUCUUCGGCUUCUUCUUUCUCAUCCAAGGCUGAGAAGAAACGCCGCUCCGAUCCGGAUCCGCCCCCAUGGAUAGCAACCCUUCAGUCCCUCUUGGAGGCCUUCUCUCGCCCGCAACAUAGACUCCAAGCUUCAGCCAGCAGCAACAGAGCCUGACCGGGAUUCCCUUCUGGCCAUUCCUCCUCCCUCGCAAGGGGUGCCCUUCGGAGGUUGAAGUUGCCUCUGUUCUCCAGCCAGACCAGUUUUUCCAGCGGGAUACGGUCCUGGAUCGUGGCGACUCGACUCGCUCUGACCACAGUUCGGCUCCUCCCCCUCCUCCUGCGGGCCUUCAUCCGCUCUCUUCUGAGGAUGAACACAUUGACUCUGUCCAGGCUUCAACGUCAAGCUUCAGAGGGUCAAAGCCAUGUGGCAUUGAAUGCUCCCAAAAACCAAACGGCACCCAGGCCAACUGAAAGGGCACCAAGGCCAUUUUGAAUGUUGUUGACUUUAAGAGACUUUCCUUCAAUUUCAACAUGGUGUUUAACUUUCAACCUGAAAUUUCCAUUGUUUCUGUUCACAUGCUGAGCAGUGACACUGCCUGAAUUGUAAAAAGUAAAAACAAAUAAUACUGUGCUGGUGCCAUUCGAUGUUGUCAUUACUUUUCAUGAUGCCAUAUUUUGAAAGUCAUUGUACACGCCUACACAGAAUUACUCACAAACUCAAAAUACAUCCCCUUGAAUAUCUGAGUCAGUUUCAGAUUCAUCCUCGUCAUUUUCCUGUUGCUUCUCAUGUUCUGUGCCACUCUCUUCAUCUGACUGGUUGAGUGAUCCUGCACCUGGUGACUUGGACUCAUCAGAUUCGCUCAGCAUUUUCAGCUUGCCGCAUAGAGGUCCGUUGACCCAGUACCUUUGUGUUGGGUCGACUGGACCUGAUACAGCUACUCCACCGUCUGGAAACUGCUGGCUGUGGAUCAAACUGUACAGGCUCUGAACCCUCUGGUGAAAUACGUUAGAGGGUUUCUGUGAUGCUUAGUCCAAGACGUGAUCUCCAAUCACCCAGAAUUCGCUUGAUAGCAGAGAACUGCCUUUCCCCUCGUGGAGAUGCAAUUGGGAACACCCAAAGAACCCUGACCACAUGCAGAAAGUUGGGGAAUUCCUCAUGCUUCUGAGUUAGCAUUUUGUGCCACAGAUCAACUGAUCUGAGUGUUGUGGUUGUCGUGGCUUUUCAUGGAGAUGCAGUUACCUGGCUGAAGGAGCAUAGGUGAAAGAACAUCAGUGAGCCAAGCAGGGUGAAGUGGCUCCUGUCUACUGUGGUCCUUGGAGGGGCGUCACUUCACAAGAUUGGCCAGUGCAAAUAGGGUGCUCCUGAGCAUAAAGAUUAUAUUUCCCCCCCCCAAAAAAAGUGUCCAGCAUUGUCUUAAACACAGUAAAAAGUGGUUUCAGGCUUGCGUUGUAGAUAUUUUAGUCAAACGAAGAAGGAAAUUUUGCAGGACAGCUUUGGUAUCGGUAUUGUCCCUAGAAAAAGAAGUAAUCUUAUUUAAGGCUGCAGGGGAUCUUUCUGAGAAACCAUUCUGCAACUUUACACUCUUCAAUGUUUGAAAAGUCUUUUCUCUUGGUUGAAUGCAUUGAAAAUUACCCAUGCUUUCCUGGACAACUGAAGGCAUUAUUUCUGUGAUGUCCGGGGAAGACAUACAUUGUACUUGUACAUGUUACUCUUUGCUAGUUUGUGUGCAAACAGGUGUAACAUUGAGGCUUUCUUCUGUGAUGAAAUCAUAGUUUUGCUGAUGAAUAUUGAAAUAACAUUAGCAUAAAACCCAAAAGGCAGUAAAUUACCCUUCGAAAUAGUGAAAGAAAAGCCACAAAAUAAGAUCACAGAGAUGCAUAUUGAAGAUUUGUAUUCAAACAAAUUGAUUGCAGCUACCCUUGAAGUUGGUUUCAAAUUCCAAUUCAUUAAAAAAAAACUCACAAGUAUUUUGCAUUCUGUGCAUUAGAUAGACUGAUUUGUGCACUCAAAGUUGUAGUUUCAAAGUAUCUGUGAAAUUGUUUAUGACAGCACAAAAUCAUAAUUAUGCCUUUUUUACUUUCAUAUAAGUGGGGAUUGUAUAUAACUCUUUAAUUCUUGAGUAAGAUAGAUAAAAAAUGCAGGGUAUUUCUCAGACAUUUCAAUUUUUUUUAAAUUGUUUUUUCUCCCAAAAUGCAGAAGCAGGCAUUGUAAAUUCCAAGUCACAAGGAGCUUGAACAAGAGGCUUGUUUCUACAAGAUUUUCUCAAAGAUGGCCCUGUUUGAAAGCAAGAGGACCUGAAAUUUUUAUCCUAGCAGAAUCUUUCUCAAAGUUAAAAGUUACUUUUCCACUGAAUGAUUUUUGGGACAGAGACAUAUAUAUAAUAUCAAAAUGAAUAUUUUGAAGCAGUUGGUAUAGAAAUGCUUAUACUUACUUGAUUGAGGCAUGAAUUUAUAUCAAA
rnacentral:misc_RNA from 1 species